GAUGAACGCUGGCGGCGUGCCUAAUACAUGCAAGUCGAGCGAACAGACGAGGAGCUUGCUCCUCUGAUGUUAGCGGCGGACGGGUGAGUAACACGUGGAUAACCUACCUAUAAGACUGGGAUAACUUCGGGAAACCGGAGCUAAUACCGGAUAACAUGUUGAACCGCAUGGUUCAACAGUGAAAGACGGUCUUGCUGUCACUUAUAGAUGGAUCCGCGCCGCAUUAGCUAGUUGGUAAGGUAACGGCUUACCAAGGCAACGAUGCGAAGCCGACCUGAGAGGGUGAUCGGCCACACUGGAACUGAGACACGGUCCAGACUCCUACGGGAGGCAGCAGUAGGGAAUCUUCCGCAAUGGGCGAAAGCCUGACGGAGCAACGCCGCGUGAGUGAAGAAGGUCUUCGGAUCGUAAAACUCUGUUAUUAGGGAAGAACAAAUGUGUAAGUAACUAUGCACGUCUUGACGGUACCUAAUCAGAAAGCCACGGCUAACUACGUG
rnacentral:rRNA from 1 species